UACGUAGGAGGCGAGCGUUGUCCGGAAUCAUUGGGCGUAAAGAGCGCGCAGGCGGCUUGGCAAGUCGGGUGUGAAAUCCCGGGCGUCAACUCGGAGACGCCACUCGAUACUGCCAUGACUAGAGUCCGGUAGGGAGCGCGGAAUUCCUGGUGUAGCGGUGAAAUGCGCAGAUAUCAGGAGGAACACCGGUGGCGAAGGCGGCGCUCUGGGCCGGUACUGACGCUGAGGAGCGAAAGCGUGGGGAGCGAACAGGAUUAG
rnacentral:rRNA from 1 species